UCGACAACGCACAACAGAGAGAGAGGUGCGCACGGACGGUCUAGAUCACCGGAAGGCAGAACGCCAAAAAGGCAGGCUACUCUUAGAGGCUUAAUAAGUAAUAGAGAUUAGCUGUUAUUAUGGUUAUUCUCUGCAGCUGCUGUUGUAUUCUUUAGAUUGCCAGUUAGCAAUUUGCUCUUGAAUGCCGUUCUGGUUCAUUUGUGAACCUGAUGUCUUUAUCCUUGUAUGUACUGACUUGUGUAGCUGACCACAGGAAGCGAAGGCAUGCGACGAGGACGAGGUGCGCAUGAAUUCUAAACAUCUGGGAUUUCCGGAGAAAAAAAAAGGCCAUGCCCCGUCGUCUCACGGUACCAAGACCAAUUCCUCGUUUAGCCUGCAGUCUGGAGCCCAGCAAUUAACCCCGCUGGCCCUGGCCUCGCAGUGUGGGAUGGCGGAAAUCAUGGGAGAGAUCUGAAUUAGCAUAUAUUGAAAUCAAAUGUAUGUCACAAUCUAUAUCUUAAAAUAAUUUAAGCUUAUUUAAACUUUUUAUUCGGUUAAACUCAUUAUAGAUUAUAAUCUA
rnacentral:lncRNA from 1 species